rnacentral:rRNA from 1 species
ACUCCUACGGGAGGCAGCAGGUGGGAAUAUUGCAACGAAUGGGGAACCCUGAUGCAGCCAUGCCGCGUGUGUGAAGAAGGCCUUCGGGUUGUAAAGCACUUUCAGUAGGGAGGAAGGUAGUGUAGUUAACACCUGCACUAUUUGACGUUACCUACAGAAGAAGCACCGGCUAACUCCGUGCCAGCAGCCGCGGUAAUACGGAGGGUGCGAGCGUUAAUCGGAAUUACUGGGCGUAAAGCGCAUGCAGGCGGCCUGUUAAGUCAGAUGUGAAAGCCCGGGGCUUAACCUCGGAAUUGCAUUUGAAACUGGCAGGCUAGAGUCUUGUAGAGGGGGUGAGAAUUGAUCAGGUGUAGCGGUGAAAUGCAGUAGAGAUCUGAAGG